rnacentral:rRNA from 1 species
UACGAAGGGGGCUAGCGUUGUUCGGAAUUACUGAGCGUAAAGGGCGCGUAGGCGGUGUGUCAAGUCAGGCGUGAAAGCCCCGGGCUCAACCUGGGAACCGCGCUUGAGACUGGCACGCUAGAGUUCGGGAGAGGAUGGUGGAAUUCCCAGUGUAGAGGUGAAAUUCGUAGAUAUUGGGAAGAACACCGAUGGCGAAGGCAGCCAUCUGGACCGACACUGACGCUGAGGCGCGAAAGCGUGGGGAGCAAACAGG